UACGUAGGGGGCAAGCGUUGUCCGGAAUCAUUGGGCGUAAAGCGCGCGUAGGCGGCCCUGUAAGUCCGUUGUGAAAGUCAAAGGCUCAACCUUUGAAAGCCGAUGGAUACUGCAGGGCUAGAGUCCGGAAGAGGCGAGUGGAAUUCCUGGUGUAGCGGUGGAAUGCGCAGAUAUCAGGAGGAACACCAAUAGCGAAGGCAGCUCGCUGGGACGGUACUGACGCUAAGGCGCGAAAGCGUGGGGAGCAAACAGG
rnacentral:rRNA from 1 species